AGUGAACGCUGGCGGUAGGCCUAACACAUGCAAGUCGAACGGCAGCACAGUAAGAGCUUGCUCUUACGGGUGGCGAGUGGCGGACGGGUGAGGAAUACAUCGGAAUCUACUUUUUCGUGGGGGAUAACGUAGGGAAACUUACACUAAUACCGCAUACGACCUACGGGUGAAAGCAGGGGAUCUUCGGACCUUGCGCGAUUGAAUGAGCCGAUGUCGGAUUAGCUAGUUGGCGGGGUAAAGGCCCACCAAGGCGACGAUCCGUAGCUGGUCUGAGAGGAUGAUCAGCCACACUGGAACUGAGACACGGUCCAGACUCCUACGGGAGGCAGCAGUGGGGAAUAUUGGACAAUGGGCGCAAGCCUGAUCCAGCCAUACCGCGUGGGUGAAGAAGGCCUUCGGGUUGUAAAGCCCUUUUGUUGGGAAAGAAAAGCAGCAGGUUAAUACCCCGCUGUUCUGACGGUACCCAAAGAAUAAGCACCGGCUAACUUCGCG
rnacentral:rRNA from 1 species